ACCAAAUGAACAUGAAGGUCAUCUUCAUUGAUGGUACUUAAACAUUAGAAUUCUUGGAGGUUGUGUUAAAAGGUUUUUUUUAACAUAAAUCUCAUAUUCAAGAAUUAGAAGCAUAAAUCUGAUCCAAUCCUUGAUUCAAAAGAUAGAAGUGUGUUAUUUGAGUUUCAGUAAAAAAAAUCAUAUUCAAGAAAUAAAUGAAGGAUCAACACCAUAAAUAUCUUUUGAAAGAAC
rnacentral:lncRNA from 1 species